rnacentral:rRNA from 1 species
UACGUAGGGUGCAAGCGUUAUCCGGAAUUAUUGGGCGUAAAGAGCUCGUAGGCGGUUUGUCGCGUCUGCUGUGAAAACCGGAGGCUCAACCUCCGGCCUGCAGUGGGUACGGGCAAACUAGAGUGCGGUAGGGGGAGAUUGGAAUUCCUGGUGUAGCGGUGGAAUGCGCAGAUAUCAGGAGGAACACCGAUGGCGAAGGCAGAUCUCUGGGCCGUAACUGACGCUGAGGAGCGAAAGCAUGGGGAGCGAACAGG